rnacentral:rRNA from 1 species
GACGAACGCUGGCGGCGUGCUUAACACAUGCAAGUCGAACGGAAAGGCCCUGCUUUUGUGGGGUGCUCGAGUGGCGAACGGGUGAGUAACACGUGAGUAACCUGCCCUUGACUUUGGGAUAACUUCAGGAAACUGGGGCUAAUACCGGAUAGGAGCUCCUGCUGCAUGGUGGGGGUUGGAAAGUUUCGGCGGUUGGGGAUGGACUCGCGGCUUAUCAGCUUGUUGGUGGGGUAGUGGCUUACCAAGGCUUUGACGGGUAGCCGGCCUGAGAGGGUGACCGGCCACAUUGGGACUGAGAGACGGCCAAGACUCCUACGGGAGGCAGGAGUGGGGAAUAUUGAGCGAUGGGCGGAAGCCUGAUGCAGCAACGCCGCGUGCGGGAUGACGGCCUUCGGGUUGUAAACCGCUUUCGCCUGUGACGAAGCGUGAGUGACGGUAAUGGGUAAAGAAGCACCGGCUAACUACGUG